AACGAACGCUGGCGGCAGGCCUAACAUAUGCAAGUCGAACGCUCUAGCAAUAGGGAGUGGCGCACGGGUGAGUAACGCGUAGGAAUCUACCCAUUAGCCUGGGAUAACAGCGGGAAACUGCUGCUAAUACCGGAUACGCCCCUUCGGGGGGAAAGGUUUACUACUAAUGGAUGAGCCUGCGUUAGAUUAGCUAGUUGGUGAGGUAAUGGCUCACCAAGGCUCCGAUCUAUAGCCGGUCUGAGAGGACGAUCGGCCACACUGGGACUGAGACACGGCCCAGACUCCUACGGGAGGCAGCAGUGGGGAAUAUUGGGCAAUGGGCGCAAGCCUGACCCAGCCAUGCCGCGUGAGUGAUGAAGGCCUUAGGGUUGUAAAGCUCUUUUAGUAGUGAAGAUGAUGACAGUAGCUACAGAAAAAGCCCCGGCUAACUUCGUGCCAGCCGCCGCGGUAAUAC
rnacentral:rRNA from 1 species